CAGUCGCCGCGGGAAUACGUAGGUGGCAAGCGUUGUCCGGAAUUAUUGGGCGUAAAGGGCUCGCAGGCGGUUUCUUAAGUCUGAUGUGAAAGCCCCCGGCUCAACCGGGGAGGGUCAUUGGAAACUGGGAAACUUGAGUGCAGAAGAGGAGAGUGGAAUUCCACGUGUAGCGGUGAAAUGCGUAGAGAUGUGGAGGAACACCAGUAGCGAAGGCGGCUCUCUGGACUGUAACUGACGCUGAGGCGCGAAAGCGUGGGGAGCAAACAGGAUUAGAUACCCCCGUAGUCCCUGUCUCUUAUAC
rnacentral:rRNA from 1 species